AAAUACAACACCAUUCCUAGAAAAUCAAAUGUGAACUUGAUAACCUCCUUGUAUAUUUGGAAGAAUAGUAUAUUUUCAUUAUCUCUUCAGGGCUUAUGAAGGGGGUGCACAAGGAGAGAGGCUCCAGUACCUCAGAGAAAACCUAUUCUUCAUUCUACAAGUGAACAUUUAUUAAGCACCCUCACCCCUCCCCACCCCACACAAAUGAAUGAGAUGUAUUUUCUAUCUACAAGGAGUUCACUGUCUAGCAGCCGCAGGGAAAUAUAUGUGUAUGUAUAAUUGCUCAAGAGAGUAGCCUUCAUGCCUAGCAGCUUCGUGACCUGGGGCAAUUUGCUUUACUAUUUGUGCCUUGGCUGCUUUGUAAGUCUUAUGGAGGUGAUGGUGAUGGUGAUGGUGAUGAUGAAGAUAAAGAUGAUGAUGAUACUGAUGAUGCCAAUGGCAGUGCCAAUGAUGGUGAUGACGAUGAUACGGAUGAUGACGAUCAUACUGAUGGUGAUGAUGACGACGAUGAUUAUGAUACUUCACAGGAUGGUUGCAACAUUAAAUAAGUUAAUACAGGUAAAGUUAUUGACUAUGGCAGCACGCUGGCUUUUGGUUUCUUUGAGACUCUUCAAAUGGGUAGUCUUUAUUGAGUUCUUGCUGGCCUUCAGAUUCAGUGCUAAGUGACUUCAUGCAUUAUUUGAUCUACAGUUCCACAAGUUUUAUGGGUCAAGUGUGGGUAUCACCAUAUGGACAGAUGUGGAAACUGAGGCUCCAAGAGGUGAAGUCACUGGGCUGAGGUCACAGAGAUGCUAACUGACAGAUCCAGGAUUUGAACGCCAGAACUUCUUUCUCAGAAACUUACACUUUUAAAACUGCUACCUUUUCUUGCCUUUCUAACCCUCUGUAGAUGGCUGCACUGAUGAGACCUCCAGUGGCCUGAGAGAUACCAAGCCGUGUCCCCUCACACAGGUGCCACUCACAGGACAGAGGAGUCUGGAUGUGAUGGGGGAGAGACAGAAACCAGCACUCGGUAUCUUCGCUGAGAAGUGGAGAGCAGUAUCUGGCUCCGAGUGUUGAACGGCUCAUUGCCUCUGCUGUUCCUGUCUUCCUUCAUGUUAAGAAAACAGAAGAUGCAGUCAAACUUUGAGUUAAUGGGUCUGCUCCAUUCAUUAUUUACCCAGGGUGGUGCUUUAUCACAGAGGCUCCUAAGUGUUUGACAAAGAAGGCAUCUCAUUAGCGCCUGGGAGGUUAUGGGUUGGCCAGAUGGUGGCUGUUUUCUUCUUUUCCUGGAGAGAGGCACAAGUGUCUCAGACUGUGUGGCAGCGGUUUCAGUUCUGAGGAUCCUAGCAAGCAAGUCACGUGCCUUCCUUCCUGAGUCCUGCCUUACACUUUGGUAAACGUAAAAAGCAAACACUUUCCAGUCUCUUGCUGGCAUGUAGGUGCUGCAGAGAUGGUGUUUAUGUGCGACAGAGUCCUACAGAAACAAGGGAAGAGUAGCUCCCAGGUGCAGCUAGUAUCCUUGACCUAGUAGCUAUUCUCAGCCCUGGGCAUACUGACAAAGGAGGUGGGGAGGGGUGACUCAUCACCUUUGAUUCUUAGCUAGUGGCAUAUGUAUGUAUGUAUGUAUGUAUGUAUGUAUGUAUGUAUAUAUGUAUAUAUGUAUGUAUAUAUGUAUGCAUGUAUAUGUGUACAUAUAUAUAUAUACACACAUACAUAUAUAUGUUAUUCAGUAUCAGAAAACUAGUUAAAUGUAGGUCUUUUAGGUCUUUCCCCUUCUAAGAACCAGGGGCAAAGAGAACCAUACCCUAAUUAAUUAAUACAGGAAUAGGAAAAGUUUUAUUAUGGUAUACAAUGAAUGAGGAGCUGGUUCACAUCUUUUAUGCUGAACAAAAUCUAGUAAUUCCAACGAUAACACUAAUCAUCACAGAGCAGCAAGGGCUGUUUACUUAGUACUUCUGCAUGUCUCUGUUGAACUUGAUGCUGGAUGAGCACCAGCUAGUUUAGUCACCAGGCCAGUCUUAAGAGGUUUUCAUGUAGCAUAAAUUAAGCACCCAGUCCACAUCAUUUUAGGCAGUUAGGAUGGGUCUGGGAACGAGACAGCAGUGGAUAACAGGCAGUUGUCGUAGUAAA
rnacentral:lncRNA from 1 species